rnacentral:rRNA from 1 species
GAUGAACGCUGGCGGCGUGCCUAAUACAUGCAAGUCGAGCGAACAGACGAGGAGCUUGCUCCUCUGACGUUAGCGGCGGACGGGUGAGUAACACGUGUAAACCUACCUUUACUUAUGGGUAAACUUUGGGAAACCGGGGCCAAACCCGGGAUAAACUUUUGAUCCCUUGGGUCAAUUGUUAAAGUUCGUUUUUUUGUUACUUAUUGACGGAUUCGCGGCGCAUUAGCUAGUUGGUUAGGUAACGGGUUUCCAAGGCAACGACGCGUAGCCGAACUGAGAGGGGGAUCGGCCACAUUGGAACUGAGACACGGUCCAGACGCCUACGGGAGGCAGCAGUAGGGAAUCUUCCGCAAUGGGCGAAAGCUUGACGGAGCAACGCCGCGUGAGUGAUGAAGGUCUUCGGAGCGUAAAACUCUGUUAUUAGGGAAGAACAAAUGUGUAAGUAACUAUGCACGUCUUGACGGUACCUAAUCAGAAAGCCACGGCUAACUACGUG